AAUGGGGGAAACCCUGAUGCAGCGACGCCGCGUGAGCGAUGAAGUAUUUCGGUAUGUAAAGCUCUAUCAGCAGGGAAGAAAAUGACGGUACCUGACUAAGAAGCACCGGCUAAAUACGUGCCAGCAGCCGCGGUAAUACGUAUGGUGCAAGCGUUAUCCGGAUUUACUGGGUGUAAAGGGAGCGUAGACGGAGUGGCAAGUCUGAUGUGAAAACCCGGGGCUCAACCCCGGGACUGCAUUGGAAACUGUCAAUCUGGAGUACCGGAGAGGUAAGCGGAAUUCCUAGUGUAGCGGUGAAAUGCGUAGAUAUUAGGAGGAACACCAGUGGCGAAGGCGGCUUACUGGACGGUAACUGACGUUGAGGCUCGAAAGCGUGGGGAGCAAA
rnacentral:rRNA from 1 species